CGGCCAGCAGCGCACCUUCCCUAAAAUUUCAAGACUGCCAAUUGCCUCGCGGUUUGACAGCUCUUAAAACGUUCCGUAGGUGAACCUGCGGAAGGAUCAUUACAGAAAGUAAACGCGGGUCAAACCGCGAACUUUUAAACCUUUGACGAUUGACUCAUGUUGCCUCGGCGGGCUCGCCCGCCGGAGGAUACAUCAAAACUCCUGUUUUAACGGUGUUGUCUGAGCUACAAGCAACGAAUCAAAACUUUCAACAACGGAUCUCUUGGUUCUGGCAUCGAUGAAGAACGCAGCGAAAUGCGAUAAGUAGUGUGAAUUGCAGAAUUCAGUGAAUCAUCGAAUCUUUGAACGCACAUUGCGCCCCUUGGUAUCCCGAGGGGCAUGCCUGUUCGAGCGUCAUUACACCACUCAAGCCUGGCUUGGUGUUGGGCGACGUCCCCUUUGGGGACGCGCCUUAAAACGCUCGGCGGCGUGGCACCGGCUUUAAGCGUAGCAGAAUCUUUCGCUUCGAAAGUCGGGGCCCCGCCUGCCGGAAGACCUACUCGCAAGGUUGACCUCGGAUCAGGCAGGGAUACCCGCUGAACUUAAGCAUAUCAAUAAGCGGAGGAA
rnacentral:misc_RNA from 1 species